AGCAGCCGCGGUAAUUCCAGCUCCAAUAGCGUAUAUUAAAGUUGUUGCAGUUAAAAAGCUCGUAGUUGAAUUUCGGGGUUAGUAGGUUGGUCAUGCCUCUGGUAUGUACGGGUCUCACUGAUUCCUCCUUCCUGAUGAACCGUAAUGCCAUUAAUUUGGUGUUGCGGGGAGACUGGACUGUUACUUUGAAAAAUUAGAGUGUUUAAAGCAGGCUAACGCUUGAAUACAUUAGCAUGGAAUAACGGAAUAGGACGUUCGAUCUUAUUUUGUUGGUUUCUAAGAUUGACGUAAUGAUUAAUAGGGAUAGUUGGGGGCAUUAGUAUUCAAUUGUCAGAGGUGAAAUUCUUGGAUUUAUUGAAGACUAACUACUGCGAAAGCAUUUGCCAAGGAUGUUUUCAUUAAUCAAGAACGAAAGUUAGGGGAUCGAAGACGAUCAGAUACCGUCGUAGUCUUAACCAUAAACUAUGCCGACUAGGGGUCGGAUGAUGUUAAUUUUUUAAUGACUCAUUCGGCGCCUUAC
rnacentral:sRNA from 1 species